AACUCAUCAAGAGAAACUAUAAUUGGCAUUGAAACUGAUUCAAUUCUUGAAAGAGCAUCGGCUACAGAAUUUAACUUGCCUGAAAUAUAAACAAUAUCAGUAGAAAAUUGGGCUAUAAAAUCCAAUUGUCUGAUCUGUCUAGGAGAUGCUUUAUCAAGUUUCUGCCGAAAAGCAUAAAUCAAAGGCUUGUGAUCUGUUCUAAUAAUCAGUUGACGUCCUUCAAAGACGCUCCAACAGCAAAAUUAGAAGCAUCACAAGUUAAAAUCAAAGGAACAUGUGGAGCAGGAUGAGAAAGAGUAGUAACUCGGAGAAGUUCUUCUUUACAAUUUUGAAAGGCUGUUUCAGUUUCAUUAUUCCAAGGGAUAACUCUUCUAUCUCUCUUGCGACUAUCCUUUAAAAAUUCAGUUUAAUACCUUGAUCUGAAACUAGGUAUCCAAG
rnacentral:lncRNA from 13 species